GUUUUGUUUUGCUACAUGGUAUUUCAUACACUGACAAGCCAAGAAUGCCAAAUCACCAUUUCAUUGGUGCUGUCAUAUACAGGUGACAAACGAGAUUCUACCCAUGUCAGCAGACUGGAGAUUGCAGUUCUUCAAACCUGAGUGUUAGGUGUCUCAGAGCAGUAUGGAUUGCAGACAAAGGCACUGAGGAUCCAGAGGCACAUAAGAACCAGCGCCUACCCUGGGAAAGCACCAUCCAUCAGUAGUAAAAGCAUGUGCCAAUAUAAUGUGGUAAGUAUCAGCACAAAGAUGUGAAUGGGUGGCUGAGCUAGGACAGCAAGGAAAGGCUGACUGCCUGAAGCUGACUCUCCUCCCGAUCCAUGAUGGGUCCUGGUGACCAACUGCUUCCUUCUCUAACUACUUGCCACUUUUGUAACCCAUCCAAGAAUCCAGCAGGAUAGAUCCAUUUGUCUGUGGAUAGUGAAUUGUCUUUCACAUUUCUGUUCAAAUGCAAACUUUUAA
rnacentral:lncRNA from 10 species